GAGUAAACAAAUCUCAAUUCAACACCAACGGCAUAAUAACGAACUUGCUCCAGAAAAGGCAUUAAUUAAAUAUGGUGUCAACAGAAUUAAAACGCUACCCGCGCAUGUUUAAUUUCUUGUUGUCCUUCUAGAAUUACAAAGAUGUUAUCAUUUGAUGGCGGUGUGUGAAAACAGAGACAGAGUACAUGUCAUCAAGCAUUGAAAAAGACGUGUUUAUCGACUUAUCUUUUCUAUUAUUCACGUUUUUCUGCUUGGCAUCCCCCGGUGUAAUUAUCCGGAUAACAAAUCCACCUCUUACCGCACCGUGUCUGCGUUAAUUCAGUUGCAUUCACUGUCAAGUGCCGUUAGGAAGGAAGAUCAUGUGGGGGCAUGUUUAAUUUUGUUUUUUAAUUAAACUGCGUGAACCCUCGUGGAUAUAUUGACCGGAAUAAUAUCAUGGAUUUCAUCAGCUGUGUUAGAUUAAGCCCUAAUGCUCAGCCACAGGCAAGGUUUGAAGAACAAUAAGAUGUUUAACCGGACCGGUCAGACGUUCAGACCACGACGGCUAACUGCUAACGGCUAAGUCGAUCAUUUGUCCGUGUGCUAAAGCUGCAGGAUGGCAUUUAUCUUUGUAGUUGCACCCAGGCGGAUUCAUCAUGGGGGUCAAAGGUCAAUGGGCUGUAGGUGUUGAGGUAAAGUUAGUCUGGAUUGAAAAAACUCCUAAUUUUGAUUUUUAAUUUUUUUUUUAUUUGUCUACCAAUAAACUAAGCACCUUUUUAAAAUAAAGUCAUUGAGUUUGAUUGAAAAAAAACAAAUCUAGACUAUUCUCAGUAAUAAGAACAAGAUUUGAGGAGACACUUAAAUAGUUUAAUAAAUUAACAAAAAACUUCUUUCUUUCUUUUUUCUUUUUUUUUUUACAUUUUUUUUGUUGCACCAAAAUCUGCUUUCCAGUACAUUUCUGGACAAAUUUCCUAUGAAAUUAUAGAGAAUGCAAAAAGCGUGGUAAUUAAAACACCAGUACUUUGCGUCGCACCUAAAAAUCUUUAGUAGUUUAAAAUAAAAUUGUGUCAAUUUUCAUCAACCAUCACUGCUGGUAUGCCGAAUUUGCACUAUUCUGUUAGUGCAGUACCCUGCUUGAGUUGUGGAUGGAUACCUUUAGCUUAGUAAAGCAGGAAGCAUGAUAUUGUCAUGUUGUGAGUUUUAACUAGCUAAUUAACUUUUCAACCGCCAUAUUACUACUUUUUCAUAAAGUCUGGUGAGUAAAUGCACUUCUGGAAGGGGAUAUGAUGAGAAAUAAAUACAACUAAAGGAAAAAUCAGUGAUUGCUUUUGUAUUAGUCAUGCAAUAAAUACAGAGUAACUCAUUGGUUUGACUGUGAAACUAAGUUUGACUUUAAGAUAAAGGAACCCAAUAAGAAGAAACCUGGACUGGAUUGCAGAGCAAGUGGGAUUCAUCUGUGAAAGGAACAGACAUACUUUAGGAACAUUUGAAUUUUUCCUAUAAAUAGCAUAUCUAUAAGAAGUAUUUAAGUUUUGCUAAUUGGCAUCCCAGUUUGUCUGGCCUUGUAGAGAACAGCUGAUGUAGAUUCUCUUGCUACCAAACGGUUCAGGCUUCGUUUUAGCGACUAAAGAGGAAACCGUAGGAGGAUUCUCUUAUACUCUGCUCUCCAGUUCACUCCAUCCACUUCAAUUACAAAACAGCUCCAGGUGACCGUUUUGUCUAAACUACAGACUGCUGAAGCUGGCCAACAGUUCCCAGAUCCAAACCAGCUAGCUUGUCUGUAAACUCACAUUCCCGCUGUCGUCCGUCGCACCGGAAGACAACGACGCUCCCGACACGCGACCUUUCCUGAGUAAUGGCUUCAUGGUUCUUUGUGUCAUAAUGGGGCUUCUGCAGUCUCACGCAGACGUUGCAGGGAGGUAGAUAAUACGCAGCCUGUCUGUAAUUACAGAUAGAAGUACAUUAAGUUCGACAGAUACAUGUAAGCUUCUUGAUGAGGGUGCCCAUUUCAAUUAGGGAGCAUUAAAUGAAACAAAAAACCUUAUGGGAGUUUCUCACUGCUAGACCCAAGGAGAAUUAAUACACUGCAUAGGGCCAUUUACCAGGGAGUAAUUACUCCCUAAUUAGCCAUUAGUUAUUCGAUUACCCUUUUAUCAGUUUGUCAUGGUCAAAAGGCAGGAAUAGUGGAUAAGUCAUCACCUUGGUUGGUAACAGAUGUAAUUAACACGCUAUAGCUCCCUUGGAGGGAGACAACGAGAGCGUGCACCGAGGCAAACCGAAGGUAUUCCGGCGUAUUUCCCGCGUUUGAUCGAAAACGGAGAUAAAUCAGCCGGUCUUCUCAUUCCUCUUGGGCUUAGCAGAAAAAGGAGGGCGUAAAUUCAAUUGGCCCCGUCCUUCCUUUCGACUCGUCCGUGUUCCUGUUUAGCUCUCAAACUUGUGGCCGGACCUCUAAUAACAGAAAAAAAAAAAAAAAGAAAGGCAACGCGGUCGCUCGCCCUUUGUGAGCACAAUGGCUGAAUGGGCUCCGUGAUUGAGACUCGAUAAGAAAUCGGGGCGGGGGGGGGAAAUAUCCAGCGUGAAGAUUGGUGAUUAGGUGGGCAUUGUCACUCGGGGGAACAGACCAGCCGAAGAAGCAGGAAUACUCCAUGCCAAACUGCUUCUACCAUUUAUUACACAUAAUUACAUUCUUAAAUAAAAACGAUUCACCGAACAGUUUCCUUGCAUAGAGAUAUUACAAUACCAAUUUAAAAAAGGAAUUAUGAAACAAACCGGUAACAAAAAUAAAUCUUUCUCAUUUUUCCAUAAUAAAGAACAUUAUCGUACCCAUACAUCAUAAUAUACAAAUGAUAAAUUUGAAACACUUUGUACAGAGAGAACACAAACAGAAGGACAAUAGAGAGGGAAAAGGGAUCGAGUGGGGGGAGGGGGGGAAUGGAGGGAAAAGAGAGUGUGCUGGUAGAAAAAGGGGAGGUGUGUUUGAUUUAAAAUUCAGACCUGGUGGAAACGGAGGUGGUGUCACACAUAGUAAUGUAUGUUACCCUCACACAUUCUGCAGGAAAAGCUCGAGCUGCAGCCUCCAAUGAAAGAAUUGUUUUGUUUUGGGUUUUUUUCUUUAAAUCAGUGAAAAAUACGAGGAAUGAGCAGAGCUACGCGUCUGUAGGUGUCGGUGCAAAGUGUUUACAGAGAGUCAGCGUCAGUGUGUGGACGUGGUGCUAAAAAGAGAACCCCACUGUACAGACUUUGUGAUCAUGGUAGAGCAUUGUUGUUAGGACUGCAGACAGGUAAACAAAAACAUCAGAUAUGCAAGUGAUUUUUUUGUUUGUUUUUUUUCUCUUGAAAGAAAAAAGAAAAAAGUCAGAGUGCAGAAACACAGACGAAGAAGAACACACAGGCACAGCAGAACUGAAUCAAUCAUUAAGAUGACACGGAACGUAAACGCAUCCUCAGAGACGACAUGAAGACUUUUUUCUUUUUCUUUUUUUUUUCUUCCCCCCCCCCCAAGAAAACACAUUCACAUUUCGAGAUUUCAGGUUCCCACGACUCCUGGAGAACAAUUUUGCUUCCGUCAGCCGCCCACAAAAGGAGGCGGGCGAACAUUUCAGAUCGGCUUCUUGUUAAAAAUUCAAAGAAAGUCAAGCAAACAAACAUGAGUUGUUCUUGUUUAAAUCCACAAUUUCAAUCGAUGCCGAACAGUCUCCAGCUUAUAUAUAUAAACGCACAGAUUCAUUCAAUAGAAGCAUAUCGAACUUAAAUACUGAAACACACACAUAGAGCUGCCGUCAGUGGUCAGCAGUCACCAUAGGAAAGGUGAAACUGCCGUUCUUCAUUUCCUCUUUCAUGUACAGUCAGAAAAUUACACUACAGCAAAUCUGCUUGGAAUUUGAAAUGUUGACGCUCUUUGCUUUAUUGGAAGAGUCAUGUUUUUGCACAUAUGAUGAAGAAAAUGCAGCGUGGAUGGCCUUAAAAACGUAACAAAAAAAUAAAUAAAUACAUAAAUAAAUAAAUAAAUACAUAAAUAAAUAAGUUUCAUGUUGUUUUUCAUAAUCUCCAGAGUAAAAAUGUAUCACUUUUACCGUUUUGGAAAGUAUGAAUAUGAAUUAUUUGUCCGUGAAUGUUUCUUAGCUCGGACUGGGUAGGACCAGUAAGGGGUGUGCCAAAUCCUGUAGCUCCGCCUACACUGGCUCCACGCAAAAACUCCAUACUGCAGCCUGGCAUACUCGAUUCCAAGUCAUGUUAGCCAAAUCAAAAGUAAACCUUUUGACAAACCUUCAACCAGCUUGAAUUGGGCUUUCCACCAAACAAACGGUUCUACCCAGCUUUCAUGCUGAACAGCAUUGCUAGUUUCUGCCAGUUUAGCAUAUUUUUCUUUCACCAGUCGGCUGCACUUUUUGCUAAGGUCGCUAAAGGUUGGAGGAAAAUUUGAUACAAAAAUUAGCAAAAAAGUGUUUUAUGUGGUAAUCUGGGCUGUGGAUUUGUAAAAUGGUCAUUUCAGAGUUUUUGCAAGAUGGCCACCGCGCUCAAUAAAAUCUGCUACACCUCAACCACAAGAACUAGUCAGUUUUGUUCCGGUGCUGCUUCUGCUGUUCCCCACUUCACAAACACUUACCAACUCUGCUCAUCCUACCUUCCUCAACUCCUGGCAUCGCUCCUGUCCGUACAUUGGACACCUUAAACAGCGUUAUCUUUGUAAAUUAAUCAGAACAAUUUCGCAAUAUGAGACGAUGAGAUUUUUCUAAGACGGCCCAAGCAAUUGUCCUGUAAUCUGCACAAGCCGAAGGUUUUUGGACUAAACCUUUUCAUAAUUUGGCCCCUCUUUAAGACAGCUGGUGCAAGCUGGUAAAACUUGUGCUCUAAGGUUUUCAGUCGUCUUUAUCUCUUGUGACUUAUUUCAGCUGUAACUCUGACGCAGACCUUUUACUCUGAAGACUUUUCCUUCUAGGCAGUAAACCAGCAAAAUCAAAGCUAAUCAACUGAUAUCCAAGCUUGUGUGCAAUCUUGUAUCCAUCUCAAAUGCAUCUGUGAAUUUAAGACAUCUAAGAAUCAGAUUUUAGUUCUUCUCUCUCUAAAAACGCCAAUUGCCGUGUUCCGGGUGUGGAUGUUUGACUCGCUCUGUCACAAUUGCAUAAGCUGAUGGGGACAAUUACCAUUGCUGACUGAGCAGAUCCACCCUCCCCUAGCCCAUUUUAGCCACCCACUGAAAAUCUGCCCUCAUGCUGGUCCAUGAGAGCCGGUAAAAUGUCAAAAGCUACCAGCCAGUUUCUCCAAGUCCAGUCAUUUUCCCCCUAAAGCGAAAGAGAACAGAAACAGUGUCUAGUAUGGUCUCCCCCACCAUCCUCCAGUGUUUUAAUGGGUCUUGCAAAAAUGGCCAGGAUUGCAACAGAUACAUUCACAUUGAUUUUCUCUGACAGGACCCAAUUGAUUGAUUGACUGUGCCUUCCUAAGAGUCAGUCCUGUGGGGGGGAAAUAUCAGCAUUCCGACAUACAUGCUGGCCAGGGGAGUCAGCAGAAAUCUUCUUGGAUGUACAGAGAGUCAAAUUUAGGGAGACGUCCAAUACAUUUUUUUUUUUUUUUUACUUGAAGUCAAGUCAGAGAGAUGCUUAAUUGGAAGAGUUCUGCAGGAAUGUGAGCUGGACCGUCUCAGACCAGCGGCUUGGUUGGUGCCAAUCACUCUCAAAUCCCAAAGAGAUCAUUUCAGGCAUCCGUCUUUUCUUUCCUUCUGGCUGCAUCCACUUCCUGUGAGUUCUUCUCCUGUGACGUGUCUAUUUAAAAUGGUCUUUUUCAAAAGAGUUACAGGAUCUGUUUAGAAACAAUAUAGCCUUUAAAUACAUAGUGAUCUCGUUUUGUGUUCGGUGUGCUAUCGCAGUGGGCUAGCUGCUUGAACUUGUGCUCAGGUGGCACAAGAAAGCCAGCGUUUCAUUUGGACAUUGGAAGGUUUGUUUUUUUUUAAAUGUUUUUUCUUCUUCUUCUUUUUUUUUUUUUUUUUUUUUU